rnacentral:misc_RNA from 1 species
GAAAAUAUAAAUUUAUCAUUAGCAGUAACAUGAAGCAUCAAGCAGAGAUAAGAGAAUGAGACUAUCAACGCCCCAUGCCUGAAGUUACUCGUGCAUUUUUCUUAAAAGAGUACGUCUUACAACAUAAUGUUACAGACAACCCAGCUACAUUCAAAUUCAUUUCCUAAUUCUGCUUUCGCUGCCCUUUCCGAUUCAACCCGCCAAAAUGCAGCAAUACUCAGUUUACAUAAAUACUACUUACCUUACUUUCCAACUUAAGCCACUAAAUAAUACAUUCCUGAUGUACUCUUCUCUUCUGAUUCUCAAAGCUUCCAUGGUGUCAGACUACUUGUGCGCCAUAAAAGGGCUAACAGAAUUUGCCCACAAUACAUGGAUGAAAAAGAAAAGCCUUCCAUUAAAUCUAAAUAGCAGUUGCAUAGAUGUAUAACCAAGUGGUUGAUCUCUAUUCCCUGCAGAAACCUUCUCUGCUUUUACAUCAGUAUCCUGAUUAAGGUUUAACAGCUCAGGCACCCAGAAUGCAUUUGAUAAAGAAACCAUCCAAAUCUACCUUCAACAGUUCAUCCGACAUUGGCGGUUGUGGAGAUUUUUAAAUUUUGUAAGUUCCUUCCUCCUCCUCCUUGCCUCUGCUGCAGCAGCUGCAUCCACUAGUUUCUUACUUGGGAAUUUAAAUGGAUCUUGAUUCUUUCCUGGAAAAGCACUUAUUAGUUGCCUAGAUUUUGUACAAAUGCCAUCAACAUGAGGAAAAAAUUCUGAUUGAAGCCCAUUCUCAUUUUUAACAGCAACAGAACCAACCAUUACUGGAGAAGUAGUUGUUUCUUUAGAGUGGGAUCCCAGACAUCGACCGCCUCCAUCUGGGGGAAAUCCUACUGGUGUCUCAUUAAGAUCAUUAAUAACCCUGACUUCUGUUGAGCCAGUAGCUUCUAAUUUAACUUUUUCAGGCAAAGGGGAAAGUUGGUUCACUGUAAGUGCAGCAGCUUUCGAAGAUGAACUACUACUACAUUGAUCAUUUACAAAAGUCCCAUCUUGUAUGUGUUUCAAGCCAAGGGAGGGUUGAGGGUGGCUUCCAUUCCCAUGAUCAGGAACUGGGAAAAACCACGGGCAUGACACAAUAUAUAAGGGAGUCCUUGGUCCAUUGACAAUCAUGGGGUUUUCCUGUUGCCGCUGAGCCGAAUCAAGCUCUCCAUUAGGUACCAUGGAAAUGGUUGAUGGAAUGACAAUGGCAUUUUGACGCCCAUUAUGUGAUUGGACAGGACUUGAAGACUGAAUCAUGGAAGGCCAGCAAAGCGGUGGAAAUGGAUGUUGGUUAUAGAACAGCAAUGGGCAGUUUGGAGCUGGGAUAGUAGGCUUCUCAACAUGGACUGACUUAAGAUCUCCUGAAGAUUCCUCCACCUCAGUUUUUAUUAAUUUGGCCAUCUGUGCCUUUAAGUGCUUAUUCUUGGAGUCCAAAGACUGAUACUCUUUCAAGGCCAAUUCUUUUUCCUUCUCAGCAGAAAUUUCACAAAAGAUGAAAAAGAUAAAGUUAGCAAUCCAAGAAUUUAUGUGCAAACAAAUGAAAAUAAAAGGUAAAUAACUUGGAAAUUAAAAUAGAAAAAAUGAAAAAAAAAAUGAAACCACUUGCAAAAUUCAGAAAUGUUUAAAACAUUGUAUGAAAAGAAAAAGAAAACUAUCUUGUUGGAAGAUGUCCACAAUUAUUGGGAACGCUGCUCACCCUGUUUAAGUUUUCAUUCACCCAUGCUAGAUCAGCAGCUUUUCCUGUUAACUCCUCACAUAGAGCCUGAAGGAAAAGAUGAUAGUGACACACACCAUGAUAGUGACACACACCACAAAAAGAUAUCUUCUUGUUAUAUUAACUAGAUUUUUACAUUAUUUUGCCUUCUUUUUAGGCAAAUCAGACUUUUAUAUUAUAGCUAACAUAUUUUCACACACUAGCAAGGCAAUAUGGUAAUAUUAAUCUCUGUAACACACGCAAGUCAUUACAUUUUGGUUAUAAAGUCUUUUUAUAUGAAAGAGCAAUCAACCACUUUUCUGCAUUAUUCCAAAAACUGAAAUAUUUGAUGCCAAUGUUCCUAAGAAACAUCAAUAGUUAAAAGUUCAACUAAACCAGAACAUCUACCAAAUCUAGCAAAAAAUAUUACCUGCCUACGUUGAAUAGUUUGUCUAGCUGACUCUCUGUUUGCCAAUAUCCUACGUAAUCUCCGUGCUUCCUUUUCAGCCUCAGUUAAAUUUUGUCUUGACCUGCUGCCACCAUAUGAUGAACGACUUUUCACACAACUAGGAAUUGGUUUAGUUGCAUCUGCAUCCAGCUCAGCCUUUGUAGGAUUUAUCACUACAUUUCUACAUAUUGAUUUACUCUGUUGGUGAUCCACAACUGCUUGAUCCGGAGCGAGAUCCGGGCAGCUGUGGACCGAGUCAGGAAAAGGGUUCGAAGCACAAUCAUCAGGCGACGACUCGCUCUUGACUCGCUUCUUACCUCGUUUUCCUUUGCCCCCCCAUUUACCGCCGGAAUCACCGCUUCCACAUUCUCUCAUAGCCAAAUGCGCUAAAUCCGCCAGCGCUUCCGCCGCCUCUAUCUCUAUCCGCACCAUCCGAUCCGCCGCCAUAGCAGACGAGGAACUCCCCGACGAAGAAGAAGAAGAAGAAUUCGAACUCGAAACAAUACAUGUAUCCACAUCCAUCUCCCAAAAAAAUAAAAGGAACAAAAUUAAAGAGAGAGAAAUCUCAUUUCCUGCGAGGAAGGGUAAGGCAGUGUUAGAGAGAGUGAGGGAGAGAAAGAGAAGUGGGUUACUACUGGUUAGCUAAGCCCACA